AAACCAUGAUGGGGGCAAAGCCUAAGCAUUUCUUUGAAACGCUUCCAUGCAUCGUAAAGAGAUUCACCAUCUUUUUGAGUGU
rnacentral:snoRNA from 1 species